GCAGUCACCCCGGGCAGACCGCUCCUCACGGAGGUUCCGCCAGGUUUUAUUUAGUGGGGGUUAUCCAGCGGGUCUGGAAUAAAUACGUAACGUGUGACAGGUCUGAACAAAAUUCUUUCCUGUGCGUGAGUGGUUGAUGUUAUUCCGUAACUAUUUCGACAGGAUAAUUCCAUAACUAUUUGUGCAAGAGACUGGAAGAGAUAAGGGCUGCAGAAGUUAAACAGGCUAUUUCCUGUCGAUAUUAGACAGGACUUUUCCUGUUUGUAAAUGAGCACAGUCAAAGAAGCCCUUUCAACGAAAGAGCAAUGGUUGUUAAGGACACCUGCUGUUACAAAAGAACUUCCUACAGGAGCUAAUUAUUCAAUAGAUUGGCUUCUGGUGUCUAUAUUGCAGAAGCAGAUGUUCAAGAAAUUACUCAGAUGCUUAAAAUGGUGUAUAACUGGAAUCACCUGGAAAAAAUGAACAACACUUGGAAAAUCUACUUGAUAGAGAGCUGGAGAGGCAUCCUGAAGUGAUAUGGGUUUGAAGAUGCCUAUAUUUUCAUGAGGGUAGGCAAGAAAAAAAGAGUGAAUAGUUCUUGGCAGCUACUUUUUGUAAGGUAAAUACUGUAGAGGUGUCUAGAAAUUUGUCUUAAAGCACUGUAAACACUUCAGUGUCUAUAGUUCUCAUUCUUUGUUGGUUGUAGUAAUAAUUUUAAUUUAUUGUUCUAAUGCUCUUCUGUACUCUGUUAUUCCUAUAAUGAAAUAGGAGUCCAAAUUUAAGUAACACUGGACUUAUUGAGGUGGCUACCUGCCACCCUUUCUGGUAAAGCAUUAGUAAAUGUUGAGAAUAUUAAAUCAUUUUAAAUGUGCUUGUACACAUUUCACUUGAGACAUCAAGUUCUUGAACAUCUCAGUCUGAGUUUUAAUGAGAUUUUAUAUGGCUUCAAGACUGUGAAGGCUUAUAGCCAUUUCUUACUUGUGUUUUUUGUUUAAUAGAUUCCUUAUUCUAAACCAUCCCGUGAUAUAUAGUCACGUGGAGAACAGAUGCUGAAUUCUGCCCUUUUUUAAAUGCCAUGCUCUGAAACUCUGGUGGUUUCUCCUUUUCACUUAGAAAUAAUGAUAAAACAACCAACAUAGGACCAUCACAUGAGCUUCCUGGCCUUUAUUUCUCCAUUUUAUGUACCUGAAAGAGUUAUUCAAAUUUUACUUCUGGUUUUCAUUCAUGGGCUCUGAAAAUAUAUAGCAUAUAUUACAUAUUCCAAAGUUUCUUUGACUGUGGCUGAAAAAAAUAUGAAUCUCUGCUUAGCUGGUAAGUAAUUUCUGCCUUAAUUGUAGUGCUAUAGGAACAAUGAAGCUUAAAAUUCUGUUUUGAACAAAUUUCAGAUUUAAUGGAGGAACAGUGUACAGAAAAAUGAUGUAUUAUAACUAACGUAUAUAAGGUUUGACCUGUGAUAGGUCUUGUCAAAGCCAUGAAACUUGGAGCUGCAUAAAAAUACAUAUAAGCUUACCUGAAGUAAUUGCAUCUAUGGAGUUUCUAAAAUGGAUCCAUUGGUGACAGAGUACACUUGGAGUUCUUACCCCACCCUUCCCAGGGUUUGGUGUCUUCACAAGUAGCUCUGUGCUCCUCUUUCUUGCUCUUUCUCCACAGGUGAAUGGCCUGCUGUCUUAAUUUCCCUAUUUCAUUUCAGCACAGGCACAAUCAAAUCAUCCCAACUGGUGACCCUUCUGACAAGCAACUGCAGAAAUGAAGAUUUUUAAUCCACUCUAAAACUGACACAUGUCCCAUAUGGUUAUUUUGGGCUUUCUGGGUUGCAGGGUAGUGUAAAUAUUUACACAAUUCUGAAAAAACAUUGCUAGGAAAAGUUCUUAAGAAAAUAACUCAUUAUUCUGGGAUCACCCUGUGCUUAAAGUAGCAGAAAUUUUUAUUCCUAGAAGUUCCAUCUUGGUGACGUUUUUCCAUUCAGAUCCAUAAAUCAUCCCAUAACUCUUCAAUGAACCCUUACCAGGUAAGACCAGCCUAAGUAACAACAGUCUUUCCCCACCAGUAUACACUGGCAUCACUCAUUUACUGUAGCUCCAAUUAAUGGUAGUAGAAGUUACACUUGUAAAUUCCCCCACGCAUUAAUGAGUGAACAGACCCCCUCUGUUUAGUUAACCAUCUUCCAGUUACCUGGCACUUUCCCCAUCCCUUGUGAGAUCUCAAAUAUUUAAUUAAAGCCUUUCCUUUUUUUUUCCUUUUUCUUUUUUUUCCUCCCCCCACUCUCCUUCAUUCAGUUUGUUGAGUUGUAAUUCUUGUUGGCCUGAUGCCUUGGCAACAUUCAGCACUUCUAAUUGCCUGUAUAGUCUGGCCUAGUCAUGGAGCCUUUUAACUUUCAUUCAGGCUUCCAGCAGUAUCAGCCUCACUGGUCACAAGCUUCCCACUCAGGUUCCGUUCACAGCCCUUUUGCUGAUUACUUGUUAUGUAUUUAAAGAGCUCCAUACUGUUUAUUUCAUUUCCUGUUUGAGAUAGUCUGUUUGCUUAAUUUUUUUCUAUGCUAAUUUAAUUUUAAACAUAUAGGGCUGUCUUCCUGGUCAAACAAGCCAGAAUUUUGCAUCCAUAUGCUACAUUAAAUAAUAAUAAAACAACAAAUAAUAGUCAAUGCUUUUUACUUCUAUAAUGUCUACCAUUCAAUGAUCUCAUAGCAUUCUUAUUUUACAAGUGGUAAAAUGGUGUCAAGAGACAUGAACUACUUGUUAAACAAUAUGUAUGACAUCUGUUACAGAGCCAGACACAGGAUUGAAUAGUUUGGUUUUCACUAAUAGCAGUUAGUCUAAAAAUUGCAAUAUGCUAUAGGAAUUAUUAGGUUAAAAUGUGCUUCAAGAGAGUGGGCUGUACCCUGGUGGAGACAUGUAUUGUAGAGACUUUUGUUCUCAGAAUAUCAUCUUUAUUGGCUUAUAAGGUGCAGAACGGACAGGAAAAUCCAAUGGAUAUUCAUGUGGACUCUGUAAAGGUUAGUAACACGUGUAAUUUUGAUUCAUGUUGAUUUUAGAGGCACUAUUAUUAAUCACAAAUAGCCUGGUGCAUUUUUUGUUUCAUUUUGUUGUCUGUGUAAAGGUCUAGCAUUCCCGUUUCCCUUUAAUUUCAGCAAACCUCUGGCUUACUAUGGCUACAAUAGCUCAUUUAUGUCUCUGCAGACAUAAUAUGCUAAUGUUAUGACAUACGAUAAUAUUUUCUGGAUGCGUUCUUUUUCAGUGUCAAACAGCACACACAGAUAAAUUGAAAAUGGUCCCUAUAAUUCUUGGUUUUUAAGGCUGCUCAUGCCCAGCACCUGAUCGUGGCUCUGUGCUGUGAACGCAGCUAGGACCUCAUCCAUGGCCAAGGUCAAAUUCCUUUGGUCGCUCUGCAGGAGUCAAUAGCUGAUUUAAUGCCUGCACUCUGCUUUCAGAAAGUGCAUGCUCAUAUUUGCUGUUACUGUGUACUUAAAGGAAGAUAUUUCAUGUGUGUGUUCUCCUUCCCAAGAUCAGAAUGCAAAGGCAAAGAAGAACCAACACAAUUGCAUCGGUAGCAAGGGUGAGUAGAGGCCAAGCUUGAAAAAAAGAAGGAACAUUUCCUGCUGGCUGGGGUAGGUUCCCUGACAUGGUGGUAAGCAUGGUGAAAUGAUCUUUCAUGGUUUUCAGGAGUGAAAUCAGAUUAGUUCUUCUGGUGACACAAAGUUUUCCAGAGACUCCACAAAAAUAUCAAGGUGUACUAGAAAGCUAACAGCUGAAAUACGUGGAAGUAAAAAAUGUUUCACAAUAUCAUUGUAUCAAAAGAAAAAUCUUGAAAUGAAAUUUGAUUGUUUCCUUAAGAAUAACUCAAAUUGUUAUAAUGUCUGAAAAGCAGCAAUAUACAAAACAGCUUGCUACAAAUACAGGAUUUCAUUUGUAACACGAAUGUACGUCCACUUAUUUCUAUAUUUCUGCUUGUUUGACCAGUGUGUGUUCUGACCUAAGUCCUAAGUAUAAUUUGGUGCCCAUGGCUGCAUCUGGGCUUCUUUUGGAUAAGGACUGUGUGGGCUUUUGAACAAUAGUCUGCCAAGCAAUGUAUUAUGAAUCCUAAUUGUUUUAGAAAACAGUUGUUCUUUUUCUUCAGCAAACACUGUCGAAUCCACAUUAUUAACAUAGAUAUAUAUAAUCGUUUUGAAAAUCAUUCUCGGUUUGAAGAAUUCUAAUGCUUCAUACAGUGAUUAUGCAAAAGUCUCAUGUAUAAGCAAUACCGAUGUUACUGGAAGCGCCUCUUACAGAGUCCAAAUAUAGCAGAUCAAAUCAAAACUGUGCUACAUCUUAAGCAACUGUUGACCCAUUUCCAUAUCAAAUUGGUUUCUGUUAUAGAAGACUUUGCCUUUUCUUUUGGAGAUAUUUACUUGCACAGUUCUAGCUCAAGUAUAGUAACAGCACAUUUUAUUCUAAGGUAAUUUAAUAAUCAGUCAAUUGUGGGUUUUUUUUUUUACUUGGUUUAUUAGCAACUUUCUAAUUAAGAGACUGUCAUAAUAAAAAGCUUGUUUCUGCUCUGUGGUAUGUGACUGUACCACCGGCUCCUGUAAAAUCAGUUGCCAUGAUUCAGCACAUGCAGGAAGCUGGUGCUAGGUGCUAUGCCAUGUGCAGGAUGCCCACCAGUUGGCUUGAUAAGCUCAGUCCUAAAUAUCUAACUUAAAUAAACUGAAGCGAGGAAAUUCUAUUUUAAAAUUUUCACUUUGCCCCUUGUUUAUCCUGCUUUUUUUUUGAGGAGGCGAGGGGUGGGGGGAUCAGCACAAUUAAUAGACUAUGGUAUAUCAGUCAAAUUUGAGAGAUUGCUAUAAAUACCUAGAGUAGGAAGAAGGUGAGUUGUUAGAGGUGUAACUUCUUUGUGUCACUUUGUUAGAACAUUAGCAGUAUCUCAAUAUAGAUUUCCUUUUUGGCUUCUAAUGGUCUAUUCAUUUCACCAGGGAGAGGAUGGGGAGAAUGUGUCACUGCUGUUUUUCUGGCAUGAACUGCCAUUCCCUUUGGUGGCUCCUGGAGUCUCCCUGGGCGGCAGCGGUCCCUCCGGCGGGGAUUGCUGCCAGAGCUGGCUCUCUCAGCUGCCACAUUUCCUACAGCUGUGCCAUUGUGCGUGGACAUCAAUGUAGGUGACAUUGCCAAAUAGUAAAUCUCAGGCCCAAGUAGUGUUUUAAAGCAGGAUUUACUUCUUGCACAAAAAAUGUAUAGCCCAGGCAGCAGGCCAGCUGGGACUGCAGCAGGCUUGCCAGUGCCCGUGCUCCAAAUAAUCUAUUAUGUUGUAUAUGAUCAAGCCACACCUACAGAAUUAAUUACAUAAUAUGAACAAUAUUUGAAUGUUACUAGUUAAUUUGCUUUUUCCCAAUGGCUGGUAUUUUUUUUUUUUUAUUUUUAUGUAUGUAUAAAAGUCUAAGCAUCUUAGACAACAAGAUGCUUGUUUAACAUAAAAGGGUCAUUCACAUUAUAAAUACUACGGUAAAUAAUAUUAUUUGAAAUAUAAAUGUAAUAGAUUAUUUAGGUGAUUUUGAUACCUUAACAGUGGUUCUCUGCUGAGAUCAUAGAUUUUUUUUGUCAUUGGUGACUGUACAGAUGUACAAGAAUAUAAUUUGUAAACUUGGUAUAUUUGUACCUUUGCAGUCUCUCCUUUGAAAAGUGGUUUCUAGUCAUUUGGGAGAACAGUGUAACUAAACAUCUUUUCUGGGGAUAUGGUUUUACAUGCCACCUCUCAAAAGACAUUUCUGAUCUAUGGUAGCAGAAGCUAUUCUUUCAUCCCCAAGCUCAACAUCGGUAUGUUAAAUAUAGAAAUGACAAACAUGUGUGGUUUUAUGUCUCAUGUCAGAGAUGAUGCCUUCAGAAAGCACAGCCGUUUCCAUUACAAUGCCAGGGCAGGGUACAGUAUUAGCUGACAGGCAUGUGAAUCUCUGACAGGGUCUGUCCUCAUGGCAGAGCUGGCAGGUUACAGCCUGCUCCAGCCUUCAUCUCCUGCUCCUCAGUGGUGCUGAGCUCUGUGUUCUCCACCUCUGUAGUGGACCUCCAGGAGCAUGGCACUGUUGAGGGCCUGGUGGGCCAUGAGAAAAGCUGCCUGUUCUGACAAUAAUCUGUAAGGGAACAUUUUCAUAUCAGAGAAUGCAGAUUUUUUGGAAAUGGCUUUUUAAAUGGAGGAAGUUUGUUAGAAGAAGCAAGCAGUGUCAAGAAACCUAACUGGUUCCUGAAGGUUCCUUUCCAGGCUGGUAUUCCAGCUUUAUGUUAACGUGUGCAUCAGGUUGCUCUCAUAAUUGGACUGUUUUUGAUCCUCUCUGUCUUACUGAUAAACCUUUUAAGGCUGAAGGACACAAGUUUGUUGUUGACUUCUUCCUGUUAGAAACCCAAACAUCUUGUUGGAAACGCAAAACCUGUGAGGCUUUGAAGUUACUGUGCAAGCCAGGGCUUAUAAUCUCCAAGUUUCUCAGAGUAAGUGGCCCUUCACUACUGAUUAUCAGGCCUAUUGUAACUAUGAAUGUCUGUGAUUAAUUACAUUAUUGUAAUUUUACAGUGCUAGAGAAGCAAAACCCAAGUUUGUUAUAAUGUUUUAGGUUAUCUCUGGCUGCAGACUAUGAGUAUGCUAGAUGUAUUUGGGAAUUUUAUGGCAAAUGCCAGCUAAGGGAAACCUGAAUCUAGACUUAGGUAUCCAGCAUUUCGUCUCUGUGGAUUACAAAUCUAUCUGAAAGCAGGGAAAGAGAAACAAAUUCUUUCAUAAAUCAAAGUGGUAUUCUCCAGCUGGAAUCCUGUUAUACAUCAUCAGAUACAGAUACUAUUUUUAGUGAACUCCUCAAAUUAAUGGCUUUUUUUAAAAUGUUCCACUGCACUUGAAAAAAUGAAGAAAUGAACCCCAUGUAAUUGAAAAAUGCUUUGGAAUAAAUAAAACAGCUGUUAUUAGCAUUUAGCUUUGUAUAUCAUAAAACCUUUUUAUGUUCAGGUUUGGUGAUUAUGCAACUUGAGUCAUUCUUAAAUCAGAGACAUGGGUCUGAAUCACAACUAAACAACUCACUUUUUGUUUUCCUUCAGGGAUCUUCAGCCUGGCUUUGUUCAAUGAAACUGAAUAUGCCACAUUAGAGCACAAGCAGAUGAUUACCAACAAUGUUUAUUGAUGCUACCACUAAGAGAAAAUGGCAGACUGAUAUAAAAUAAAGAGACUUAGCAGAUGGGUUAUUGGCAUUUGAAUUGGUUGAAAUAGAUUACUGAUUUUACCCCAAACCUGCCCUUUUAUGAACACUGCAGUAUCGUCGCUUGUUGUAGAACUGUAAAUCAUAUUCAUUCUUAUAAAAUUAUUUCCUGUUCCAACCCAGAGUAUUUAUGAUUAUAUAUGCAAACAAGAUUUUAUUAUCAGGGGAAUCUAAAGCAGGGUUCCUUGUUAGAGCUCCUGUCAGCACUGACUUGAGACGUAAGCUGCCAGCAUAGAAAGUUAGAUUAAAAGAAACAUGUAUUGUUUCUAGGCAUCCCCUUAAUAUAAAACCAGCAAAAAAAGAUCUGCAAACAUAAUUAGACACAUGGCUCUAAUUGAAAUCAAUGGGAAUUAGAAUCAACAUCAAGGAGCCUGACUUUCAGUAAGCUGUGACUGAGCAGUGCCGAGAACCACAUGAGCCUGAAAAGGGAUUCAGACAGCCCAGAUCAGGGGCAGAGCUGAGAACUGCCUUGAGUCUGCUAAAAACAAAAUGCAGAUGUAGAAUAGGCUAGGAUGAGUAUAAGAAAUUAGGGCAUUCAGGCUCUUUGAAUCUGGCUCUGGGUGCCUAAAUAAGGCUGUAAGAUCUUGAUUAUGGUAAUUCUCACGAACUCCAAGCUAGUGUGAGGAGCCAUGCUAUGAUUGAUUAGUACUUUGGUUUUAACAUUGAGCAUUUUGUGCUAUGAGCAUCCAUCAAGCCCUGCAGGCUUCAUUACCCUUUGUUGUGGGUCAAGACAUGUUCUUUACGUGUAGGUCAUCAAAACAGUCCGGACUCAUCAAUAUUUGUUCUGGAGGCUUUUUGCACUGGAUAUGGUUCUUGAUAUAUUUGAAUUAACAAUGACCCUUAGUAUCCAGGAUGAUUCAUCACAAUUGCCAAUGCAUAUUUAUAGCAGCAAAAAUUCAUUCAGUGCUAGUCAAGGAAAUCGUGUGUGAAUUUAAGUCCAGUUGGCAAGGUAGUACAGUAUCUGAAAUGUUGGCUGUGCAGCAGCUGUCAUUCUAUGCCAAUCUAUUCUAUCAUACAGUAAGCAGGUGGCUCACACAUAUUGUUUUUACUACAUAUCAUUUUAAUUUUGCAAUGUCUCACUGAAAUAGGAAAUGUGUGCUACUGAUUUCAAUAAGAUUUUCUUUAUUGAAGCCAGAAGAGCAUGUUAAUAGCAUGCAGCAAUUUACAGUGUAGUUGAAGUAAUACAGCAGCUGGUGAACCUGUUUAUUCCCUAUGGCUGUAGUUGUAUAUUGGUCUUAAGUGUAGCUAAUUAACUUCUAUUCAUUAGAGAUUUUACAAAAAUUCAAGCAGAAAAGAGAACACAAGCCUCAAACCAUUCGUGUUCCUUCAGCACCCUUUUGUGAAGCCAUACUGCAGCAGCCCAUCUCCUCUGGCAGACAUGUGAUGUCCUCAGGCCAGCCGAGGGGGACUCUGUGAUCUUCUGUGUUUCUCAGAUUGGUAAAAUUCAAGAUACAAGGUUCAAGAUCAGGUGUUUUGGUGAAGAUAAGUUUUUGCUCAGAAGCAUUGAGGCUACAGAUGAGAUCAAAUGAAGGAUCAACAUCCGCCUUCUUUCUAAAAUUCGCUGUUUUCUACGAGUUAGUAAAGUAUCACACCUCUUCGAAUCGAGCUACUGGAUGCCCUGGUGGAGCAGCUCCCUGCAGUUGUGGCAUUUGAACACUGAGUGGCACUAAAGCCCACGGCACCGGCAACGCAAGCUGGCAGAUGGUUGUUAGCUACAGAAGGAUUUAAAGUGAGCAGGGAGGGAUGGUUAGUGGCAUGCAUUACCUUUUGUCACCUUUCAUCUGCACACUGCUGCACUGCUUUGCUUCUUCACACCACUUUGAGGCAGUUUGACUGUAUUGGAGCUCUGCUAGUUUAUGACAGCUGCUGCUCUUGUGAAGUGAUCCUGGAUUCUGGAUUUCAGGGCUAUGUCAGUGAUGCUCAAGACAGUGGGAAUUAUUUACACCCCUGACCAUUUUUAUGUCAAGCUCAGCAUAUCCUAUAUAUAUAUGGAAGUAUGGCUUACAAUUGGAUGCAAUAGUGAAAGAAGCCAACUUGAAGGGAUGGCUGUACAAAAAUCUGCUGCAAAGUAGACAGGAUCAGAGCCUUCUCUUCAAGUCCCUUAGUAGUGUGCUCUGACCUUGCAUAAAUGCAAUGUACGUUUACCCCUGAGAAAACUGAGCUAAUCUGCUUUGUGUUUGGCAUCCCACAGAAAUAAACAUGAUUCAGUUAUGAGCUUCAGAGGAGGGCACAAGGCUGCCACUGAGCCAGGAAGAGUCGUUGAAGGAGCUGAUGAUGGAUGCCAAGAGCUUUCACUUUAAUUGUUUUAAUGUCAGACUGUGCCCCUGGAUUUUGCUGGGACCAGCUGUGUGUAAUUCGGCUGCUGGGCCCUAGAUGGUGUCUGGCUUGUCUCUGCUGCUCUGCGCCCUUCCCUCGUGUCUUCAUUGUGAGCUUUGCUUGGCAAGUGAGGAGAGCGCAUUGCAUGCGUGGUGACAGCGCACGGCUCUUGUGAUGUGAAACCAGCGUUGAAGAGUUUCUAGGAGUUAGGAAAUUUUAGUUUCAAAGAUCCCCACUAAUUCUGGUGCCUCAGUAUUUGGAUACUGAAACAGCUGAGUUUUUGGUCUCCUGUUACUCUGCAGUUUCACAGAAGAGCAUCCUGGUCUGUAAUACUCAAGCAAUAUGGUCAUGCAUGCUCUUAGAAAGAUCUAUUUUUCAGAUGCAUAAACAAUGUGUUGGAAAAUCAGCAAUUGUUUUUAUGUAUCAUUUUGACAGUAGCACUCCACACAAAAAUCCUAUAUAUUCAGAUGGAUCAGAAUAGGCACAAAACUAGGUUUCUAAUAUACAUUAUGGAAAAUAUUAAAAAAAUUAAAAUUAUUUAAAAAUAUUUCAAUCAUUUAAAAUGGUGUUCAGAGAUACUAGAAUAAAAAUGCGUUGCUCACAUCUGUAGUUAACUGAGGCUCAUGAAAUACUUUUCUUGCAGGACAGGGUAAAACUAGAUGCUGUGUUGAAACAUUCAUAAGGAAAGCUAAUAAAAUAUUUUCUGUGUCAGGAUGAAGGAAUUAUGUUUUCAGUUUUGGAUUUUGUUUUGCUGAGAAAUAAAGUUAAAUUCUAUUUUAAAGGUUAAUUUUCAGGUUUGGGCUUAAAAAUAUCUCAAAUAUUUUACCAGUAUUUUGAUCUCAGUCUCUAGGUUUGGAUCUGACCUAUAAUAAAGAAAUGACCAGAUACAGAAGAUUUUUCAUACAAAUAGAAAAACAAA